AUGCAAGUCAUAUAUAACAAGCACAAAGAGCUCCAUGCCAGAGAACUUAAUGUUGCGUUCAGCUCAUUUGGGAGGGUCUUGCAGGGCAUGUACUGCAAGCGGAUGGGCCUAAUGUUGUCUGAGGCACACAAAGCUGAGUGCAACAUUCAUGAACAGAGGGCUGAAGGUGAAGGCAUCACUUUUAUUAUACCGGGGGGACUUCUGCUACAGGCAUGUCUGAUGGGACUACAACUGAACCUUUUCCGCAAUAGCCCAAGCAUCCGGAGCAACCCAACAUUCAUCCUGGCACACACGGGACUGCAUGCAUGGAUGAUGCCACUGCCACUGUACCGUCUCCGCAACAGCCCAAGCAACUAG
rnacentral:rRNA from 1 species